UCCACAUCACCCUUCACCUUGGGACCUUUCAGAUGCAAAUCAAAGUCAGGCAUGGAGAUCUUGGGGGCUUUGAUGUUCAUCUCAGGCAUCUUGAAUUUAGGGCCCUUUAGUUUCGCAUCUGGACCUUCGAUAUUCACAUCAGGAACAUCAAUGUCCACCUUGGGUCCUGAGACGUCAAGGUCAGCCUUGGGCAGGUUCACAUCCACUUCUGGACCUUCUCCUUUGAAGCCAGGCAUGCUGAUCUUGGGCAUUUUUAUCUUAGGCAUCUUCAGGUGCCAGUCUGGACCCUGAACAUUAACAUCUGGGACAUCAAUGUCCACUUUGGGGCCUUUGAGGUCAACUUCAGGACCUUUCAGAUCUCCCUCUACCU
rnacentral:lncRNA from 1 species